rnacentral:misc_RNA from 1 species
GAAAUGCGAUAAGUAAUGUGAAUUGAAGAAUUCAGUGAAUCAUCGAAUCUUUGAACGCACAUUGCGCCCGCCAGUAUUCUGGCGGGCAUGCCUGUUCGAGCGUCAUUUCCACCAUCAGGCCCCCGGGCCUGUGUUGGGGACCUGCGGCUGCCCGCAGGCCCCGAAAUUCAGUGGCGGUCGCGCCGUAGCAACCGAGCGUAGUAACUAAAACGUCUCGCUCUGGCUCGCUGGGCGCGCUCCGGCCGUAAAACACCCCCCCUUUUCGCAAAGGUUGACCUCGGAUCAGGUAGGAAUACCCGCUGAACUUAAGC